rfam:Myotis lucifugus cont2.19267, whole genome shotgun sequence.
GGUGGUUCUCGGGUGAGGCACCCCGGAAUCGGGCUCCCUCCUCUCUGGUUCCAGGGUGCUGAUGUCACCCGAGAACCACC